AUGUGGAAACUGUGGACUCUUCUUGGCGGGGAGCUGAAGGGCUCGUGGUCUCAGCAUAACGCUUUGCCGUGCCUCAUGUUAAGGGCACACUUUCGGCCUAGAUUGGCCCCCUCCAUCAGCAGGUCAGCCAGCCGGUCCAGACCGACGCAGACGGUGAGAGGGGCGAUGAGGCCAUACAGACCCCCCAGCAUAAUGCUCAAGGGCCAGCCGAGAACCAGCAGGACCAGCAGCCAGACGAUGCCCCAGAAACACGAGCCACACGACAUCCUCUGCUACAGGAACAAGAGAUACACAGCUUUUUAAAAAAAAUUUCACACAAUACUCUUUUUUUUCAAAGUCAGUGCAUAAACUUUACCAAGCAGCACUGCUCUCCAGAUAAAGAAUUUGGUUUAUAAUUAGGAUGUAAACACACUCCUGCCUUCAGAAUAUUAAUACAUCUCUGCAACAGUUGCAGUGCUAAUGAGAGCAGUAAUUAGGAGAGAGUGAGAUCAGAUACAUCACUCCCUUAAAGGAAUAGCUCACCUGAAAUUAAAAAUUUGCCAAAAUCUACUCGCUCUCAGGUUAUUCAAGAUUAGGAUGAGUUUGUUUCUUCAUCAGAUUUGGAGAAAUGUAGCAUUGCAUCAGUGUCUCAGCAAUGGAUCCUCUGCAGUGAAUGGGUGCCGUCAGAAUGAGAGUCCAAACAGCUGAUAGAAACAUCACAAUAAUCCACAGCACUCCAGUCCAUCAGUUAACAUCUGGAGAAUACAAAAGCUGUGUGUGUACGAAACAAAUUUAUAAUUAAAUUAACUUCAAACUGUUUCGCCGGAGGAAGUGUUAUUAUGGAUUAUGGACUCAGAUUUUGUCCAGACGCAAUGGUUUUAAGGUAAAAAUGUCUCAAUGAUGAAUUUGUUUCUAACAAACACACAGCUUUUCACUUUACGAGACAUUAACUGAUGGACUGGAGUGCUGUGGAUUACUUUUGGAUUAUUGUGAUAAUAUUUGGAUUAUUGUGAUAAUAUCAUUCUGACAGCAACCAUUUACUGCAGAGCAUCCAUUGGUGAUUCUCCACAUCUGAUGAAGAAACAAACUAGAACUGGCCUGAGGGUGAGGACAUUUUAAAAAAGUUAUGAGUCUGGGUGACCUAGUCCUUUAAUGUUUCAGGUGCUUCAGAGACUCAUCCAUCUGAAAGCGUCUCAUGCAUCUGGAUGUAAAGCUCACUGUGAUUUCACAGAAAAAUUUUAAGAGAUAGUUAAAUUCCUUUAGAUAAUCAGAGGGAGUGCUGGAUGGAGAAACCAGCUUUCUAAGAGAAAGAUCAGGAACUACAUCAUCUCACAACUGAAAGCAGGAGCAACUUUUCCGGCAACUUGAUGGUGAGAAUGUGCAAUAAUAAUGCAGUUUCCCCAUUUGUCAAUUUGUUGAAUAAAAAUACAAUUGUUAAUUCAUAGUGCAUUAACUAAUUAUAUAACUUCUGGUUUUAAAAAUGUGCAUUGUAAAGGUUGAAAUUAACAUUAAAAUAAAUACUGUAGAAACAUUAUUCAUUAUGAGUUCAAGUUGAAUCUUAUUUUAAAGUGUUUCCAACAAUGUCUUGGUUUGUGAUGAGAAACAUUUUAUUUUGUAAAUUUUUUUUGCACUGUUAAAAAAAGUUUUUUUUUCCUUAUGAUUAUUAAUAGUGUGAUGAAUUUGCAGCAAACUUU
rnacentral:lncRNA from 1 species